GAGAGACUGACUCCAUAGCCCAGCGGAUAAGAUACUUCCCUGGGAUGUCAGGCAGAGCAGCAAAGUAAACUGGGGUCUCCCACUCCCAGGUUUGUUUUCCAUUCUGAUCCAUGCCCGCAGUGCACAGCUGACUCUGGCAUGAAAAAUUCACCGCCAAUUACAGCUAUCCGGAGAUCUGGUGAUGGUCAGAUGAUUUGGACAUGUGGGUCCUGCUGCGCUGCCUUUCCCUUUUUAGGACAACCUACUGCUCUGUGCUGUACCUGGUGGAGCAGCAAUUGGGCCAUUUUCUCACCAAAUAUAAACUGGAUUCAAUGGAACUAUGCCAGUUUACAGCAGCUGAAGAUCCAUCCCACUGCAUUAAUACAAAACUUUGCUGGGCAGUUUGAGCAAAAUUUGGAGUCCCGUGGAUUUUAUAGGAUUAUAAAUGAUCCCACUCAUCUUUCAUAUGUAUUAUGUGCAAUUGAUGAUGUUCUACAAAAAAUACUCUGCUUUUCUUAGAACAUUUUAAUACAGAAAUAUUUGUAAAUACAUUAUUUAUAGGUAAUAAAAAUAACAUUUUAAAAUCUCCAUACACCAUGUUUAAACUUGCUUAUAUUAAAUACAGCUUUGAAUACAAAUAGAGAAGAAGUGAUUCCAAAGUGGGGGAGACAAAUGUUCUCCCAAUGAAGUUGAAUCUAAAAAAAAUGUACACCCAAAACUGACAGCUUACAAGGCAAGUAACAGAAUAUUAUCAUUUCAUAGCAUGGUUCUUUCUGUUACAGUGCUUGAUUGACAGCCCAAAGGAAAUCACAGCAUAAGAGAAGGAAUGGAUAUUUUUCACAUUCUUGUUUUUGUUUCAGAGAGACAACAGUGGGCAGGUCAAUACUUCUAUCUACCUUUUUUUUUUUUUUUUUAAACUUAGCUGUUGACGAUCAAAAUAAGAUAUUGUAAGCCAGAAUUUCAGCUGGUGCAAAUUGGCACAACUGCGCUAAUCUCUACGAAGCUUAGAUUUACACCAGCUAAGGAUAUGGCUCUUUUUAAAGAGCAGGCCAAACAGGGAAUGCUCAGGACCUGGCAUGGAUUAGAGUUACGAUGCAAUUCCAGAUUUCAUGUGGAGGCUAAUUCAAGGCUAUGACUUCACUUCGGUGGUUCUGCAGCCGGGAGAAGAUCUCCCUUCGCGACACUUUUGUGCCCAGGUGGUGUAAAUCUGCCUUCCUGAGCCACAUCCUAACCAGUUUUGAAAAUGAAAGGACCAUUCUGCUUUUGAAAUCUGACCUAGAACCAAACCUGGUUCAAACUGGAACCUCUAUGAAAUGUUGGGUGCUUGGGAUACAAGGUUCAUCUUAUUUUUUUGGAACAUCUUUUUUCCUUGACACAUACUCCCAUGUGCUUUAACCUAAAUAUAGUGAUGCUAGUAACAUCAAUCAUAUCAAUGCCCCAAGUAUCAAUAAUAGCAGUGCCAGCAGCCCAGAACUAAUGAACACCCCUCUAGUAACAUACUAGUGUGCAAAGCCCCAGACCCAGGAGCAGUCUUACAAUAAUAAAUCAAUGUGCCCAGCCUAGUACUCAUUAGCAAACUUACAAUAAUACAGCAGAGUGCAAAGAGUAAUCCUACAAUUAAGAAAAUACCAGUGUUUCUCUGCUGGAAUGUGGCAGGGUGGGAAG